UUGUAGUCUGAAGUUUGCACA
ensembl:piRNA 21ur-3427 ncRNA